rnacentral:rRNA from 1 species
AGAGUUUGAUCCUGGCUCAGGAUGAACGCUGGCGGCGUGCCUAACACAUGCAAGUCGAACGGAACUUCUUUGACAGAAUUCUUCGGAAGGAAGUUGAUUAAGUUUAGUGGCGGACGGGUGAGUAACGCGUGAGUAACCUGCCUUUGAGAGGGGAAUAACUUCCCGAAAGGGAUGCUAAUACCGCAUGAAGCAUAUUUAUCGCAUGGUAGAUAUGCCAAAGAUUUAUCGCUCAAAGAUGGACUCGCGUCCGAUUAGCCAGUUGGCGGGGUAACGGCCCACCAAAGCGACGAUCGGUAGCCGGACUGAGAGGUUGAACGGCCACAUUGGGACUGAGACACGGCCCAGACUCCUACGGGAGGCAGCAGUGGGGGAUAUUGCGCAAUGGGGGAAACCCUGACGCAGCAACGCCGCGUGAAGGAUGAAGGUUUUCGGAUUGUAAACUUCUUUUAUUUAGGACGAACAAUGACGGUACUAAAUGAAUAAGCUCCGGCUAACUACGUGCCAGCAGCCGCGGUAAUACGUAGGGAGCAAGCGUUAUCCGGAUUUACUGGGUGUAAAGGGUGCGUAGGCGGCUUGGUAAGUCAGAUGUGAAAUGUAUGGGCUCAACCCAUGCACUGCAUUUGAAACUAUUGAGCUUGAGUGAAGUAGAGGUAGGCGGAAUUCCCUGUGUAGCGGUGAAAUGCGUAGAGAUAGGGAGGAACACCAGUGGCGAAGGCGGCCUACUGGGCUUUAACUGACGCUGAGGCACGAAAGCGUGGGUAGCAAACAGGAUUAGAUACCCUGGUAGUCCACGCUGUAAACGAUGAUUACUAGGUGUGGGGGGAUUGACCCCUUCCGUGCCGCAGUUAACACAAUAAGUAAUCCACCUGGGGAGUACGACCGCAAGGUUGAAACUCAAAGGAAUUGACGGGGGCCCGCACAAGCAGUGGAGUAUGUGGUUUAAUUCGAAGCAACGCGAAGAACCUUACCAGGUCUUGACAUCGAGUGACGAAUCUAGAGAUAGAUUUUUCCUUCGGGACACAAAGACAGGUGGUGCAUGGUUGUCGUCAGCUCGUGUCGUGAGAUGUUGGGUUAAGUC